rnacentral:misc_RNA from 1 species
GAUGAAGAACGUAGCGAAAUGCGAUAAGUAAUGUGAAUUGCAGAAUUCAGUGAAUCAUCGAAUCUUUGAACGCACAUUGCGCCCGCCAGUAUUCUGGCGUGCAUGCCUGUCUGAGCGUCAUUUCAACCCUCAUGCCCCUAGGGCGUGGUGUUGGGGAUCGGCCAAAGCCCGCGAGGGACGGCCGGCCCCUAAAUCUAGUGGCGGACCCGUCGUGGCCUCCUCUGCGAAGUAGUGAUAUUCCGCAUCGGAGAGCGACGAGCCCCUGCCGUUAAACCCCCAACUUUCCAAGGUUGACCUCAGAUCAGGUAGGAAUACCCGCUGAACUUAAGCAUAUCAAUAAGCGGAGGA